UACAGAGGGUGCGAGCGUUGUCCGGAAUCACUGGGCGUAAAGGGCGCGUAGGCGGCUUGAUAAGGUUGCGGUGAAAGCCCGGGGCUCACCCCCGGAAGUGCAUUGGAUACUGGCGGACUCGAGUCCCGGAGAGGAGGGUGGAAUUCCUGGUGUAGCGGUGAAAUGCGUAGAUAUCAGGAGGAACACCGGUGGCGAAGGCGGCCCUCUGGACGGUGACUGACGCUGAGACGCGAAAGCGUGGGGAGCAAACAGG
rnacentral:rRNA from 1 species